GUAACAUUUGUUUUUCAUUGUGUCGUCCCUGCUCAGAUUGUGUUCCCGCUUCUUAUCAAUCGCCGUGCGUUUGUCCUCUUUUCUCCUCCACCUCCUGUGACCCACUGUUUUGUCGUUCAUUCGCUCUUUGUGAGCUUCUGUGCUGUUCGUGCGCCUGUCUGUACUGUUCACGAUCUGUUCUUUUGCCCACUAGUCUGCUUGUUCGUCCAUCCUUCGCUAGUUUCUCAUGAUGUAUCGGUCGUUGCCCGGAUAUCCCUUAACUCCUUUGCCCCUUCACUUUCUUGAUCUUGUACCCAGUGACUUGGCAGUGUCGGUCCCUGCUUUCUCUGUCGGCGUGCGUUCUGUCCGUAUCCGUCUCCCGGUUGCACGAGCAGGGCUGACCGACAAGGCGCAUGAGGGUCAGUUCGUCUGGACGGAUGGCACUCCACUGAACCUGGUCAAGUGGAGCCUGGGCGAGCCCACCAACUCGGUCCUCUACGGCGGCCCGGACGGCGAGGACUGCGCCGAGCUCAGGGUGGUGUUCGGUUUCGGUGAGUGGAACGACAUCGACUGCGAGAGGGUGAAGCGGCCGUUCGUCUGCAAGGCACCUGCGUACGCUCAUACGUCACGCUCGUGAAGGCCAGCUGAGCCCCCCUGCUGCGUCAGCCCCCAGCCUGCGGGCAGCCAAUCAGCGGCGAGUUCAGCCGUGGGUGGCGUGCUGCCACUGGUCCAUCAGAAGAAGGGCGAGCCGGGGCUGUUCGCAGGCGCCGCUUCAAAGAGCAGACGUAAGCGCUGCGCAUGGCACAUAAACGUUGCUCCGGCUUCCUUCAAGUCGUAAAAUUGUGGCAUUGUGAAAGUUCAUCAAGUCCGUGAAUUGCGGGAGAAAACUGGCUUACCGUAUCUCUUUAUCCUCUCUGCAUCGACAACUGAAUCUGCAUUUGUCAUCUAAACAGGAAAGACUUUAGGACAGUGCAGGGCACGAAUUUUCGAAAUACACGGCCAGAUAUGCCGGCGAUUCUUCA